rnacentral:lncRNA from 1 species
CUCCGGGGAGACGGCCUGGUAGCGGGACUCGCAGCCCUGUCGUGUCGCCAGCAGAGCCUCGAUUCGCCCGGCGGAGCCGCUCCAUCAAGCGCUGUGCCGCGGCACCGCGAACUCCGCCAUCGGGGAAGGGGCCAGGACCAUAGGCAAGCGAGGAACGCGGAAGAGAGAGGGUGUUAUUUUCAGAAAGACCAGCUGUUCAUCAAAGAACAUUAUCUUGAUGAAAAAGAGUCUACUUUUACCCAACACACUAACACCAAUGGAUUUGAAGCUGCUAUGAUGCUAUCUUUAUUUUCUGAUCAAAAUAAAAAUCAAGUAAGUAGUCUAACAUCCCAUUCACCUUGCUAUUCCCUUCUGUGCAAUAAUACAUUUUCUAUAUGGUCUUAAUAUAUAGAAUUAUUUUCCUGUUAUCAGUUAAACUCUGUCAGAGCAAAAUAUUUCAUACAUCCAAAUGCUUUCUUCAAACUUAAAAAAAUAACCAUCCUUCAAGUCACAGCACUUCAAUUAUUUGGAAACUCAACAACUUCAUAAUACGCGAACUCUUGUUUUACUUUGACAUAGCAGAUAUGAUAAUUGCCUGGUGUAGAAUAUUCUGUAAUCUGUGUUCACCAAGACACAUUGGAAUCAAGGUUUUGGAAAUAGUCCAUUUCAAGCCAUAAACUUUAAAAACAAAAGUUUUUGUAGUGCCUUUGCAAAUUUUGCUGACAUAAAAAAGCCAAACCAUGCAAACAGCAGAGCAUUCUGGAGAAAGCCCUGUGAACAUCAAAAGUAUUACAUCUUUAGCUUUAAAUUAAGCAUUGCCUCCUGACAUUAACUAAAAAGAAGUUCAUUUCAGCAACUAUUUUGGAAAGAAAAGAAUAUGGGUUCUACAGAGAAAUAAAAGAAUAAAACAGCUUCUUCAAAAGACAACAUUAACUCAAGCAUUAAAAUUAGUUCUAAUUCUGUGUUGUUAAACACCCAAUGCAAGUGCAGAAAAAUGGAUGAGAGGCAGCUAUGAACAGUAUUUUUAUCCACUGCCUGAACAACUAAAAAGAGCCAAUGAUUCAAGCACUGUCUGCAAGUUCUAUGGCUUCCAAUGCAGCAACACAGAUGUGGAAAAAUCAGGGAAUUAGAAAAUGUUACAAGGUGCAAACAAUCUGGCUUCUAAAAGCAAAAUGGUCCUUAAGUAGAUUUUAAAGCUUCAUUUGAAAACAAGCUAUACACUGACUAAAUCAAGAAGUUCCAUAGCACAUUUAUGAUUACAUGUUUGGACACGACAGUCAUAUCUUGCAGGCAGCCAAACUCUUUCGGUUUCUCUGACAAAUUUGGGAGUGUUCUAUUCAGUGCACUUACAACAGGUUUGCCUCUAUGAUUAAACAGAAGCCUACAGUCGAUGAAGCAUUUUUCUUCUAUUAUCUCCUAUAUCUCAUCACACUAUCCAGAGCAGAGUUUCACCCUUAGAGAUAUAUAAGAUGGUCAUCUACAAUCCAUUCAAAGGGGGUUCUGAAUGGUUAGAUGCUCAAAUGCAAGACACUUACAAAAUUUAUUUAGCUGGAACUGGAAAUCCCUACAUUCACAAUGGUUUGAUAUAUGAAGAGUGGUAUGUUACAUAGACCCAAUGAGUUUUCACAUGCUCCUUCCUCAUCUACAAAUACUGAUAUCUUCAUUCGAUGUAAAUCUAUUUAGAUUGCCUGAUCACUGUAAAUGAAUGUACAUACAACGGGCAAAAAGCACACAAUAGACUGAACAGUGAGUUGAGCAUAUGUAGUCUACAGCAACUACAGCAACUUAUGAAGGAAUUGCACAGCAGCGGAUAGAAAAAGAGGAAGGAGCUUUUAAAACCACAGGGGAAAUUGUAAAAAGAAAGAAGACAAACCUCAUACUGAGGACAAUUUAAGGCCUAAAGCAAGAAGACAGUCCAACCUUAACCUUUGUACCCUAAACCAAAAUCUGCUCCCGAAUUCAGGCUGAUUAUGAAUACUGUUUAACCUGGGCAGCGCCCAUAGCCAAAAUACAAAUUUUAUGGCAUCAUUGUGGUUUUUCCCCCAACAAAGAAAGAAGGACUUGAUAAAAUUUAUUUCAAAGGAUUUUAACUUCUGCUUUCAUUCAAUGAACUGGAAACAUGGUGAU